rnacentral:rRNA from 1 species
GGUGGGGGAUGGACUCGCGGCCUAUCAGUUUGUUGGUGAGGUGAUGGCUCACCAAGACGAUGACGGGUAGCCGGCCUGAGAGGGCGACCGGCCACACUGGGACUGAGACACGGCCCAGACUCCUACGGGAGGCAGCAGUGGGGAAUAUUGCACAAUGGGCGAAAGCCUGAUGCAGCGACGCCGCGUGAGGGAUGACGGCCUUCGGGUUGUAAACCUCUUUCAGUAGGGAAGAAGCGAAAGUGACGGUACCUGCAGAAGAAGCGCCGGCUAACUACGUGCCAGCAGCCGCGGUAAUACGUAGGGCGCAAGCGUUGUCCGGAAUUAUUGGGCGUAAAGAGCUUGUAGGUGGCUUGUCGCGUCUGCCGUGAAAACCCGAGGCUCAACCUCGGGCGUGCGGUGGGUACGGGCAGGCUAGAGUGUGGUAGGGGAGACUGGAACUCCUGGUGUAGCGGUGAAAUGCGCAGAUAUCAGGAAGAACACCGAUGGCGAAGGCAGGUCUCUGGGCCAUUACUGACACUGAGAAGCGAAAGCAUGGGUAGCGAACAGGAUUAGAUACCCUGGUAGUCCAUGCCGUAAACGUUGGGCACUAGGUGUGGGGGACAUUCCACGUUUUCCGCGCCGUAGCUAACGC